rnacentral:rRNA from 1 species
UGAGGAAUAUUGGUCAAUGGGCGAGAGCCUGAACCAGCCAAGUCGCGUGAAGGAAGACUGCCUUAUGGGUUGUAAACUUCUUUUAUACAGGAAUAAAAAGGCUUACGUGUAGGCCAUUGCAAGUACUGUAUGAAUAAGCAUCGGCUAACUCCGUGCCAGCAGCCGCGGUAAUACGGAGGAUGCGAGCGUUAUCCGGAUUUAUUGGGUUUAAAGGGUGCGCAGGCGGGCUUUUAAGUCAGCGGUGAAAUCCGGACGCUUAACGUCCAAACUGCCGUUGGAACUGGGAGUCUUGAGUAUGGAUGAAGUAGGCGGAAUUCGUUGUGUAGCGGUGACAUGCAUAGAUAUAACGAGGAACUCCGAUUGCGUAGGCAGCUUACUAAGCCAUAACUGACGCUCAUGCACGAAAGCGUGGGGAUCAAACAGGAUUAGAUACCCUGGUAGUCCACGCCGUAAAACGAUGAUUACUAGUUGUAUGCGAUAUGAUAGUAUGUGACUAAGCGAAAGCGAUAAGUAAUCCACCUGGGGAGUACGCCGGCAACGGUGAAACUCAAAGGAAUUGACGGGGUCAUAGCUG